UACGGGGGGAGCAAGCGUUGUUCGGAUUUACUGGGCGUAAAGGGCGCGUAGGCGGCCACCGCAAGUCGACUGUGAAAUCUCCGGGCUUAACUCGGAAAGGUCAACUGAUACUGUGCGACUAGAGUGCAGAGGGGGCAACUGGAAUUCUCGGUGUAGCGGUGAAAUGCGUAGAUAUCGAGAGGAACACCUGCGGCGAAGGCGGGUUGCUGGGCUGACACUGACGCUGAGGCGCGAAAGCCAGGGGAGCGAACGGG
rnacentral:rRNA from 1 species